rnacentral:pre_miRNA from 1 species
UUUAUACGACGACAUUGACUUUUAUGUUUACAUUUGAUCAUUCGUCUUAUUCAAAAAAAUUAUAUAAUUAUUAAUUAUUUUGUUAUAAUUUGAUUUAUUAUUACGGGAACUUUAAGUAUGGUUUAUAAUUUUGCAUAUUUUGAUAAAAUUUUUGAAUAAGAUGAAUGAUCAAAUGUAAACAUAAAAGUCAACGGCGUCAUAUGAA